rnacentral:lncRNA from 1 species
UUCCACUUACUAAUAAAGACUGGGUCUCAAACCAAUAAUCUUUCUUUUCAGAAAGAAAUUUUGUGUCCAUAUCUUACUUGUGAAGAUGACGAUAGUUUUAAGAUAAACUUCUAGUUUAUUUCUGUUAAUAAGUGUGCUUUCGCUAUGUUAUUUUAUGGUUCAAAAAUUUACACGUAACUAUGUUGUGAUUUUACUUUUUAUUUUAUUUUUUGUAUCUAUCAUUCAGAAGAACUAAAAAAGAAGGGUCCGGCUACUAUACUAUUAUGAGUACGAUCGCCCUCGUACUCAUAAGUUGUUUUCGAUGAUAGAGCUUCUGAAUCGACGAUCCACACCGUUAAACGUUAUUUACAAUAUUUAAAACUUCUAGAAAUCAAAUUUUAUAAUUUUUCGACAUCAUUUACCUUACGAUCAAGAGAUCACAAAUUUGACAAUUUUUAACGGCCGGUAUAGGAUACUUGCUAGUUUAACGAUGUAAAAAAAUUAAAAUUUAUUGAAUUUUUGAUAAAAAAUUCUAUUCACUACAUAGAUAAAGAUCAACAACUCCGAUCUUGAAUUGAAAGAUCCGAUCAUUCUUUUUUAGGACGUCGUUCGAUUUUGACCGUUCAUUUUAUCCCCACUUGAUGGACUUUAUUAUGAUUUCGAAAAUUUACGAAAUUUAUUUUUUAGAAAUUUCAAAUGCUCUAGAUUAUAUUUAACGGAGUGGAUCGUCGAUUCGGAAGCUUCAUCAUUGAAAAUAACUUAUGAGUACGAGGGCUCCAAUACUCAUAAUAGUAUAGUAGCCAUGACCCUAAAAAUAAUAAUAUAAUAUUUUACCAUCAUAUACUAUACACUUGAUCCCUUGCAAAAAAAUAUUACUUUACUAUGUUUAACAUUAUGUCCUUACAAUAAUACAAAAUAAAACUACGAUUUGUAAAACAUAACUUUUAGGGUGCGUUUGGUUCGCAUUAUGAAAGAUUACUAGGAAUAAAAGAUAUCCGAGAAUCUUAUUCCUAUUCAUCCUAUUACUAAGAAUGUGGAAUUCCUGUGUUUGGUUCGCACGGUAAUAUUAAUUAGCCAUGUUAUUUAAUAUUACAAAAAAUAUACAAUUAAUUAAUUAAUUAAUUUAAUUAAUUUUAGAUAAUGUUACUAAAAGUUUCAACAUCUUUUUAGAAAAAAGGGAGAGAGAGUAUAAGUUAGAGAGAGAGAGCAUAAUUAAAAAAAUAGAAAGAAAAAUAUAGUCGAAAUUAGAGGGAGUGAGAGAGUUGAAAUUUUAGAAAGAGAGAGAGAGAGAAAGCUUAGUUUAGAGAGAGAAAAAAAAGUUGAAUUUUAGAGAGAAAAAUAAGUUUAGAGAGAGAUAUAUAAGGUUAGAGUGUAAAGAAAAAUAAUAUCAAUUAGCCGGCGGGUAGGAAAAAAGAAAGAGAUUAGACAUAUUAUGAUUACCCCAAUCCAUUAAUAUAAGGAUACCCACCCUCCCUUAAGGGAAUGAGAUUAGUACUUUGGGGUAAAUCUUAUUCCCAAGUGAAUCCAAUAUUAUCAACUAGAUUACUUAGUGCGUUUAGCAAAACACCGUCAUAUUUUUUUAUUCCCAUUGGAUUACUAGGAAUCUUUAAAAGAUAGCGCGAACCAAACGCACCCUUAAAUUUACAGGAUGCCAAAGUAACAAAAUAUGUUAUUCAUAAAUUGAUUGUAAUUAACGUAGUCUGUAAAAAUUUUUACUUACAAAUUACCAUUAAAUAAAAUGUUAAAAAAAAUUUAAAUUAUUGCAACUCCAUUGAAGUUUCUUAGAACUUUCGCUAGGUGUGCUUAAUGCUGUGUCAUUUGAUUACUCGGAUGUUGAAAUAUCUUUUUUUAAAGGUGUAUUCUUUGUUAGAUAAUUCAACAUUACUUUUUCUAAAACCACCGUUUCAUAAAGCGUGGUAAUUAAUCUGACUUUUUCAACCUGGUCCAAAAGUCUAAUGUAGAACUUUGGAUGGUCUCAUUUUUUAGUUUUACCUCGCAGCGUUUGGUUAGGGGAUAGGAAUAGGAAUAGGCCCUUAUUCCCUUUAUACCCAAACGUUAAUUUUUUAUCCGAAAAUAGCAGUUCUCGGUUAUUCCCACCAACACCUCUAUUUUUUCUAUAAAACUAUCUAAUAUUUUUCUUAUCUCCGAAAACAACCCAAUUUUCAUCCAAACGUUAUUUUUUUUAUCUCCAUAUUUGUACCUAUUCCUAUAAUAGCUAGUUCUUGUUUAUACCCGAACCAAAUGGUAAAGUAUAAUAAUAAUAU